AUUUGGAUAAAGUACGUUAAGUUAAUAUCGCAAAAACACCAAUCGUCGUUUUAAUAAACGCCCAAAUGUCAACCAAUAUAAUUAGGCUUUAUGAAUUGUGUCGGCAAGAAUUUACAGCGAAUGUUUUCUUUCGAACGUCAGUAUUUAGGAACGGUUACAUAAAAGCGUCACUAAAGAACAACGGAAAUGAGGCGCAAAGCAAAAGCUUUAUGAAGCGAAGAGCUGUGAAGCGCGGACCUUCCACAGGAUCCACGGAAAGGUUAAAGUCUGUGCUAACAAGGGCCGGUCUUUUAUUAGAAAGCACACAUUGUACCUGAAGAGCCACGGGAAAUUAUGGGAAAUUAUAAAAAGGCACAAGCUUUUCUUCCAUCCAUCGCGCUCAAGUCCAGGAACACCUGUGAGAUAUCUCAGAAAACAAUGAAAUUCAACCCUGAGGGUGAAAAUAAAAGCACCCAGGGAAGUCCUCUGGGAUCUAGGAAAAGUGCAAUUACACAGUGUUCCCCAAACUUUCUUCAUACUGACUCCAGCUGAAGUCAUAGAUUCACAAAGAGCCCAAAUUGAUCAAGCACCUGGAAUAAAAAGGCAGUAUGAAAGACCUGAAGGCCAGACUGCAGAGACCACAAACACUCCAGCAUUACAGACAGCUCACAGAAAUACUCAGACCUUUUGUUUUAAGAACCAUCCAGCUGCUGUGCCAAACUCCACAGCACAAAACUCAAUGCACCUUCCCCCUGGUCCUUCAAAGGCAAAAAGCCAGAGCAUGUGUCGUUUAUAUGACUAAGCAAAACGCAGCUGUGAAAUCAGAGCAUGAAACUGAUGAGACGCAUCCGGUGCAUCCUGGGGGACGCUGGCACCCCUUUACUGUUAACCACUCGUAUACACGUACCAUUAGCAAGAAUGCUGACCUGCCACCAAAUAUUAGACAAUGGUGAGACAGUUACAUGUAUUUAAAGGGAUAGUUCACUUAAAUUGAAAUUCUUAAAAAAUAGUUAAAUUCACGUCAUUCACCUUUAUGAACUUCUUUCUUCUACAGAACAAAAAAUAUUUAAGACAAAUAAAAAGAUAUUUUGAAGAAUGUUGGUACCAAACAACAUUGACCCCAUUGAUAUCCAUUGUAUGGAAACAAAACCACAUUUCUCAAGAUAUCUUCUUUUGUGUUUCACCAAAGGACCAAAAUGUCAUACAGGUUUGAACUACACAAGGGCAAAUUAAUGAAUAUUAUAUUUGUGUGAGCUCUUUAGGUGCCUGUUGUAUAAGAAGGGUCACUCACUUAAUUGUGAUGAAUCAUUUUGUCUUUAUGCUGAAUGUGAAACAGCCAAUCGGAUCAGCAGCGGAUGAAGUUACAGGCGCACAACCAUUGACUAUGUCAGCCCAGAAGCAAUUCCUUCAGAAUAAAUAUUUUUGUUCAUGCGA